rnacentral:rRNA from 1 species
GAUGAACGCUGGCGGCGUGCCUAAUACAUGCAAGUCGAGCGGACAGACGAGGAGCUUGCUCCUCUGACGUUAGCGGCGGACGGGUGAGUAACACGUGGAUUACCUACCUAUAAGACUGGGAUAACUUCGGGAAACCGGAGCUAAUACCGGAUAAUAUAUUGAACCGCAUGGUUCAAUAGUGAAAGACGGUUUUGCUGUCACUUAUAGAUGGAUCCGCGCCGCAUUAGCUAGUUGGUAAGGUAACGGCUUACCAAGGCGACGAUGCGUAGCCGACCUGAGAGGGUGAUCGGCCACACUGGAACUGAGACACGGUCCAGACUCCUACGGGAGGCAGCAGUAGGGAAUCUUCCGCAAUGGGCGAAAGCCUGACGGAGCAGCGCCGCGUGAGUGAUGAAGGUCUUCGGAUCGUAAAACUCUGUUAUUAGGGAAGAACAAAUGUGUAAGUAACUAGGCACGUCUUGACGGUACCUAAUCAGAAAGCCACGGCUAACUACGUGC